UAGGUCAGCAUACUACGGUGAAUACGUUCCCGGGCCUUGUACACACCGCCCGUCAAACCAUGAGAGUUGGCAACACCCGAAGUCGGUAGUCUAACCGCAAGGAGGACGCCGCCGAAGGUGGGGUUGAUGAUUAGGGUUAAGUCGUAACAAGGUAGC
rnacentral:rRNA from 1 species